rnacentral:rRNA from 1 species
CCCAGAAGCGAAGGCGGCCCCCUGGAUCGACACUGACGCUGAGACGCGAAAGGCGUGGGUAGCCAAACAGGAUUAGAUACCCCUGGUAGUCCCACGCUGUAAACGAUGGGCACUAGGUGUUGGCUCCCGCCACGGGCGGAGUCGGUGCCGCAGCUAACGCAUUAAGUGCCCCGCCUGGGGAGUACGCUCCGCAAGGGUGAAACUCAAAGGAAUUGACGGGGGCCCGCACAAGCGGUGGAGCAUGUGGUUUAAUUCGAUGCAACGCGAAGAACCUUACCGGGGCUUGAACUGCCAGGUAACCCCCAUGAAAGUGGGUCUGCUCUUCGGAGCAACCUGGUAGAGGUGCUGCAUGGCUGUCGUCAGCUCGUGUCGUGAGAUGUUCGGUUAAGUCCGGCAACGAGCGCAACCCUUGUUCCUAGUUGCCAUCAGGUGAUGCUGGGCACUCUAGGAAGACUGCCGGCGAUAAGCUGGAGGAAGGUGGGGAUGACGUCAAGUCCUCAUGGCCCUUACGUCCCGGGCUACCACACGUGCUACAAUGGCUGGUACAACGGGCAGCGAGACCGCGAGGU